rnacentral:rRNA from 1 species
UGGGGAAUAUUGGACAAUGGGGGGAACCCUGAUCCAGCCAUGCCGCGUGUGUGAAGAAGGCCUUAUGGUUGUAAAGCACUUUAAGCGAGGAGGAGGGUACUGGUAUUAAUACUACCAGCUACUGGACGUUACUCGCAGAAUAAGCACCGGCUAACUCUGUGCCAGCAGCCGCGGUAAUACAGAGGGUGCGAGCGUUAAUCGGAUUUACUGGGCGUAAAGCGUGCGUAGGCGGCUAAUUGAGUCGGAUGUGAAAUCCCCGAGCUUAACUUGGGAAUUGCAUUCGAUACUGGUUAGCUAGAGGGUGGGAGAGGAUGGUAGAAUUCCAGGUGUAGCGGUGAAAUGCGUAGAGAUCUGGAGGAAUACCGAUGGCGAAGGCAGCCAUCUGGCCUAACACUGACGCUGAGGUACGAAAGCAUGGUGAGCAAACAGG